rnacentral:rRNA from 1 species
UACGUAGGUGGCAAGCGUUGUCCGGAUUUACUGGGUGUAAAGGGCGUGCAGCCGGAGAGACAAGUCAGAUGUGAAAUCCACGGGCUCAACCCGUGAACUGCAUUUGAAACUGUUUCCCUUGAGUGUCGGAGAGGUCAUCGGAAUUCCUUGUGUAGCGGUGAAAUGCGUAGAUAUAAGGAAGAACACCAGUGGCGAAGGCGGAUGACUGGACGAUAACUGACGGUGAGGCGCGAAAGCGUGGGGAGCAAACAGG